rnacentral:rRNA from 1 species
UCCUACGGGAGGCAGCAGUGGGGAAUCUUGGACAAUGGGGGCAACCCUGAUCCAGCCAUGCCGCGUGUGUGAAGAAGGCCUUCGGGUUGUAAAGCACUUUCAGCAGGGAGGAAGGCUUACCCCUAAUACGGGUGAGUACUUGACGUUACCUGCAGAAGAAGCACCGGCUAAUUUCGUGCCAGCAGCCGCGGUAAUACGAAAGGUGCAAGCGUUAAUCGGAAUUACUGGGCGUAAAGCGCGCGUAGGUGGCUUGAUAAGCCGGUUGUGAAAGCCCCGGGCUCAACCUGGGAACGGCAUCCGGAACUGUCAAGCUAGAGUGCAGGAGAGGAAGGUAGAAUUCCCGGUGUAGCGGUGAAAUGCGUAGAGAUCGGGAGGAAUACCAGUGGCGAAGGCGGCCUUCUGGACUGACACUGACACUGAGGUGCGAAAGCGUGGGUAGCAAACAGGAUUAGAUACCCUGGUAGUCCACGCCGUAAACGAUGUCGACCAGCCGUUGGGUGCCUAGCGCACUUUGUGGCGAAGUUAACGCGAUAAGUCGACCGCCUGGGGAGUACGGCCGCAAGGUUAAAACUCAAAUGAAUUGACGG